UUAGUAAGUGGAGGAAAAGAAACAAAAUUGUAUUGACACAGUAAUGGCGAAUGAACUGUCAAUAGUCCAAACUCCAAAUCAUCAUUUUUGUUGAAUUGUGGUAUACAGUCCUUCCUGCUACAGUGGUUGUAGAGUCUUUUGGAAAUGAGCAGUUUGUUGGGUGAAACUCCCAUUAGCAACCUACUAUUCAUACAGGGAGGAACUAUAGAGUCGAGAUGUUUGGGAUUACACCUCAAAUGGAUGGUGAAUUCUAUCCAAGACUAAAUAUUUGUGAGAGGCCAAUAGAGCACAAGUACCGUGAGGGAAAGAUGCAAAGUCAUGCGAAAGCACAGUCAAAAAGUUCCUGAACAUACCAUAGUGAAAACAAAGAAUUAGCUAACAUUCCAUGUUGUCAUGCUACAGUGCUUCUGCAAUGUAACCAUUUCACAUGAACUACCUGUGUAUAUUGAUGUAAUGUGAACUUGUUUAUCUGCCGUUGAUAUACACAGAGCCAAUUUUUUCCCCG
rnacentral:rRNA from 1 species